AUGAGCCAGGGGCAACAGAGGAGGCCGUCGUCAGACCAAGCCCAGGCGGGCGGCGGCGGGCAGGGCCAGGGACAGGGAGGAGGCGCCGUCCGCUACGGCGACGUGUUCCCGGCCGUGACCGGCGGCCUCGCGGAGAAGCCCGUGGCGCCGCAGGACGCGGCCACGAUGCAGUCGGCCGAGAACCUCGUUUUCGGGGAGACGAUCAAGGGCGGGCCGGCGGCAGCCAUGCAGUCCGCGGCCAUGCGGAACGAGCGCAUGGGCCUCGUCGGCCACGACCAGGCCACGGACGCCACCGCCGAGCAGGGUGUCUCCGUGUCCGAGACCCGCGUCCCCGGCGGGCGUAUCGUCACCGAGUUCGUCGCCGGGCAGGCCGUGGGCCAGUACCUCGCGCCGGAUGAUGCCGCCGAUGCAGGCGGAGCCGGUGGCGACGACACGAAGAUAACUAUCGGCGAGGCGCUGGAGGCGGCAGGUUACUCGGCCGGAGGCAGGCCGGUGGAGCGCAGCGACGCGGCGGCCAUCCAGGCGGCCGAAGUGCGGGCCACCGGGCUGGACGUCAAUAUCCCUGGUGGCCUGGCCGCGCAGGCGCAGUCGGCCGCCGACGCCAACGCCUGGGCCGCGCGCGACGAUGAGAAGGCCAAGCUCGGCGACGUGCUCUCGAAUGCGACGGCGAAGCUGGUUGCGGACAAGGAGGUGGAGGCCGACGACGCGGCGAGGGUGGCCUCGGCGGAGACCCGAAACAAGGAUGACAAGACGGUGAGGCCGGGAGGGAUAGCAGCGUCCGUGGCUGCGGCGGCGCGGCUCAACAAGCAGGGCGCAUAG
rnacentral:rRNA from 1 species